rnacentral:rRNA from 1 species
UUAUCCGGAUUUAUUGGGUUUAAAGGGAGCGUAGGUGGAUUGUUAAGUCAGUUGUGAAAGUUUGCGGCUCAACCGUAAAAUUGCAGUUGAAACUGGCAGUCUUGAGUACAGUAGAGGUGGGCGGAAUUCGUGGUGUAGCGGUGAAAUGCUUAGAUAUCACGAAGAACUCCGAUUGCGAAGGCAGCUCACUAGACUGCAACUGACACUGAUGCUCGAAAGUGUGGGUAUCAAACAGGAUUAGAUACCCUGGUAGUCCACACAGUAAACGAUGAAUACUCGCUGUUUGCGAUAUACAGUAAGCGGCCAAGCGAAAGCAUUAAGUAUUCCACCUGGGGGGUACGCCGGCAACGGUGAAACUCAAAGGAAUUGACGGGGGCCCGCACAAGCGGAGGAACAUGUGGUUUAAUUCGAUGAUACGCGAGGAAUCUUACCCGGGCUUAAAUUGCAAAUGAAUAAUCUGGAAACAGGUUAGCCGCAAGGCAUUUGUGAAGGUGCUGCAUGGUUGUCGUCAGCUCGUGCCGUGAGGUGUCGGCUUAAGUGCCAUAACGAGCGCAACCCUUAUCUUUAGUUACUAACAGGUUAUGCUGAGGACUCUAGAGAGACUGCCGUCGUAAGAUGUGAGGAAGGUGGGGAU